rnacentral:tRNA from 1 species
AAGGAAGUGACAGACUGGCUAUGUGGUUGGCUUGAAACCAUCUUAUAGGGGUUCGAUUCCCUUCUUUCUUG